rnacentral:misc_RNA from 1 species
UCCGGUUUGGCACCGGCAGUCCCCCGAGAGUCCUCAGCAGCUUGCGCUCUGUUAGCAACAUGGGGCGGGGGUUGCGCUCGUUGCGGGACUUAACCCAACAUCUCACGACACGAGCUGACGACAGCCAUGCAGCACCUGUGCUGGUGCUCCGAAGAGGGCCCCCUGUUUCCAGAGGGUUUCACCAGCAUGUCAAGCCUAGGUAAGGUUCUGCGCGUUGCGUCGAAUUAAACCACAUGCUCCACCGCUUGUGCGGGCCCCCGUCAAUUCCUUUGAGUUUCAGCCUUGCGGCCGUACUCCCCAGGCGGGGCACUUCAUGCGUUAGCGCCGGUACUCCAAGGGUCGCUCCCCGGAGCACCUAGUGCCCACCGUUUACGGCUAGGACUAC